rnacentral:tmRNA from 1 species
GGGGGUGAUCGGUUUCGACUUCGGUCGCCGUAUUGGGGGAAGCGAGCCGAGGAUCGCGAAGGUAACCUCGUUAAUCCUGCUUUCGCAAACCAACAAGUGCCAAUUCCAAGCGCACUGAGUUCGCUCUCGCUGCCUAAGCGAUAGCGACUCUGUCGGCCCGGGUACGUCCUCGACCCGGUGUCCGGCAUCGUUCAGGGGACUUACCGCUCAGAUCAGGCCACGGGGCCUGAGCGGGACACUUUCGUGGCUGGGCUCGUCAGCGACCUGUUCGUGGGAGCGCUGGAGCCGAGGAGAACGGCAGCACGAACUGCGCUCGGAGAAGCCCUGAUGCGUCAUCGAAGGACGCGGGUUCGAUUCCCGCCACCUCCACCU